rnacentral:rRNA from 1 species
GGGAUCAUUACAAGAACGCCCGGGCUACGGCCUGGUUAUUCAUAACCCUUUGUUGUCCGACUCUGUUGCCUCCGGGGCGACCCUGCCUUCGGGCGGGGGCUCCGGGUGGACACUUCAAACUCUUGCGUAACUUUGCAGUCUGAGUAAACUUAAUUAAUAAAUUAAAACUUUUAACAACGGAUCUCUUGGUUCUGGCAUCGAUGAAGAACGCAGCGAAAUGCGAUAAGUAAUGUGAAUUGCAGAAUUCAGUGAAUCAUCGAAUCUUUGAACGCACAUUGCGCCCCCUGGUAUUCCGGGGGGCAUGCCUGUUCGAGCGUCAUUUCACCACUCAAGCCUCGCUUGGUAUUGGGCAACGCGGUCCGCCGCGUGCCUCAAAUCGUCCGGCUGGGUCUUCUGUCCCCUAAGCGUUGUGGAAACUAUUCGCUAAAGGGUGUUCGGGAGGCUACGCCGUAAAACAACCCCAUUUCUAAGGUUGACCUCGGAUCAGGUAGGGAUACCCGCUGAACUUAAGCAUAUCAAUAAGCGGAGGAAAAGAAACCAACAGGGAUUGCUCUAGUAACGGCGAGUGAAGCAGCAAUAGCUCAAAUUUGAAAUCUGGCGUCUUCGACGUCCGAGUUGUAAUUUGUAGAGGAUGCUUCUGAGUGGCCACCGACCUAAGUUCCUUGGAACAGGACGUCAUAGAGGGUGAGAAUCCCGUAUGCGGUCGGAAAGGCGCUCUAUACGUAGCUCCUUCGACGAGUCGAGUUGUUUGGGAAUGCAGCUCUAAAUGGGAGGUAAAUUUCUUCUAAAGCUAAAUAUUGGCCAGAGACCGAUAGCGCACAAGUAGAGUGAUCGAAAGAUGAAAAGCACUUUGGAAAGAGAGUUAAAAAGCACGUGAAAUUGUUAAAAGGGAAGGGAUUGCAACCAGACUUGCUCGCGGUGUUCCGCCGGUCUUCUGACCGGUCUACUCGCCGCGUUGCAGGCCAGCAUCGUCUGGUGCCGCUGGAUAAGACUUGAGGAAUGUAGCUCCCUCGGGAGUGUUAUAGCCUCUUGUGAUGCAGCGAGCGCCGGGCGAGGUCCGCGCUCGGCUA